rnacentral:rRNA from 1 species
UGCCAGACUCCUACGGGAGGCAGCAGUGAGGAAUAUUGGUCAAUGGGCGGGAGCCUGAACCAGCCAAGUCGCGUGAGGGAAGACGGUCCUAUGGAUUGUAAACCUCUUUAGGCGGGGAGCAAUGCCGGGCACGUGUGCCCGGAGGGAGAGUACCCGCAGAAUAAGCAUCGGCUAACUCCGUGCCAGCAGCCGCGGUAAUACGGAGGAUGCGAGCGUUAUCCGGAUUUAUUGGGUUUAAAGGGUGCGUAGGCGGAAUGCCAAGUCAGCGGUAAAAUCGCGGGGCUCAACCUCGCUCCGCCGUUGAAACUGGCGUUCUUGAGUGGGCGAGAAGUAUGCGGAAUGCGUGGUGUAGCGGUGAAAUGCAUAGAUAUCGCGCAGAACUCCGAUUGCGAAGGCAGCAUGCCGGCUCCACACUGACGCUGAGGCACGAAAGCGUGGGUAUCGAACAGGAUUAGAUACCCCAGUA